rnacentral:misc_RNA from 1 species
GAUGAAGAACGUAGCGAAAUGCGAUAAGUAAUGUGAAUUGCAGAAUUCAGUGAAUCAUCGAAUCUUUGAACGCAUCUUGCGCUCCUUGGUAUUCCUUGGAGCAUGCCUGUUUGAGUAUCAUGAGCAAAUCUCAAAGUCAAUUCCUUUUGUUAAUUCAAUUGGUUUUGCUUUGGACUUGGAGGUCAUGCAGAUUUUCACAGUCUGCUCCUCUUAAAUGCAUUAGCUGGAUCUCAGUAAUUAUGCUUGGUUCCACUCGGCGUGAUAAGUAUCACUCGCUGAGGACACUGUUAAAAAGGUGGCCAGGAAAAUACUGAUUGAACCGCUUCUAACGGUCUAUUAAGUUAGACAAUUACCCUUAAGUUUGAUCUCAAAUCAGGUAGGACUACCCGCUGAACUUAAGCAUAUCAAUAAGCGGAGGA